UAGUUACACUUCCCACAAUUAUUCUUUUUCCAAAUUGCAUAAAAUUGAUGUAAGUUGAAGUAAAAUUUAGGGUUUGCGGCUGGAUGGUUGCCGCGCCGCCCUUGCCCGGCGGCAACCCGUUUUCUCCUUUCCCUCGUUUCUUCCUGUUAAUAAAUCUUGUUGGCCGUUCUCUGCUCGUGUGUGUCUCUGUUUCCUCUGUUUUGCAAUACUGUUGGCUCAAGAUCUGGCUUAGAUUUCACCUUCUUCGCCGUCUCUCCAGGAGGGUUUCUCGACCUGGAUAUGGUUUGAUUGCAUUUGGCAAGGAGGCUUCAGUGUGGUCUCGGUCGCUCCUUCCUUGGCCAACGAGUUCUGAUGUUGUUGACGUCGUCAAUCUGGUCGAUGACUUCCUUGUCUGGCUCUUUUUCUGCAGGCGGUGGGGAGGACCAAGACGAUGGGGUUUGGGUCUGUUGCUGGGUGGCCUAAUGCGGAUCGAUGAGUCUCGCUGAUAUGGAGGCAUUCUGAUUCCAGCGUUGGUUUUUGGGUUCUUGGGUGGUGAGAAUUUAUUUAUGAGUCAGGAAAGAGUUGCAGAUUAAGGUGGUGCAAUAAUCUUGAUCCCCGAAUUAAAAAAGGUCCAUUGAAAGAAGAAGAUGAAGAGACUACUCACAGCUCAACACGUUCACGGAACAAAGUGAUCACUCAUAGCUGCAAGCUUCCCAAUUCGAAGUGACAAUCAAGAAUCAUUGGCACGUCAUAACAGAAUGCAGGAAGAAAUAUUGUUUCAUCGGUUCCAGUACUUCCUCUUCCGGGAAUGAACUGAGUACUCCUCAUAUUGGGGAUUCAUCAUUGAGCAAAGAAGGAAGCCAUUAGUUCAACAAAUAUUCAGAAAGUUCAUAGUUUCUCCACUCAAACCCUUCGUCCUUUGGAAGCUUUCAGGGUGUCAUCGCGUUCGCGCUUCCACUUAUUCUCUUGACGUUGUUCUUCCAGUGAUUACGAGAACCUUGUUUCUGCUAAUAAUGAUGGAGGGAUCAUAGAAAAGGAUGUAGAAAAUCUCUAUGAUAACUCCUUCAGAGAGACAAAGCUGAACACUUCUUCAUCUGCAGAGCAUGAAAAAGAGAAAGAGAAAAUAGAGGAGUCCAAUGAUGAUGUUGAAAGUAAUGAGGUUCCUUUCUAUGAUUUUCUUGCUGUCAGUGACUUUUUAGCAUGAUGACUGGUGAAGUAGUACUUUAAAUUACAUCAAUAUGAAAGUGACUUUUUAGCUAGCUAGCUCUCUAGUUCUAGCUAAUUUUCAUCCA